UUGAAAGGGGUGCUGGCAAAGCCGGCUGAGAUCGCGAAAGCGGAACCCUCGAACCUGAUACGGAUAAUGCCGGCGUAGGAAAAAA
rnacentral:ncRNA from 1 species